rnacentral:rRNA from 1 species
GACAGAGGGUGCAAACGUUGUUCGGAAUUACUGGGCGUAAAGCGUGCGCAGGCGGCUUUGCAAGACAGAUGUGAAAUCCCCGGGCUUAACCUGGGAACUGCAUUUGUGACUGCAUGGCUAGAGUGCGGCAGAGGGGGAUGGAAUUCCGCGUGUAGCAGUGAAAUGCGUAGAUAUGUGGAGGAACACCGAUGGCGAAGGCAGCCCCCUGGGCUAACACUGACGCUCAUGCACGAAAGCGUGGGGAGCAAACAGG